CAAUAGCGUAUAUUAAAGUUGUUGCAGUUAAAAAGCUCGUAGUUGAAUUUCUGUACAGUCCCAAUUUUGGCUUCGGUCAGGUUGUGGAUUGUGCAUCCGCUUGCAAAUCUAGUUCGGCAUUAACUUGUUGGCUAGGGGAGUAAGCUUUUUACUUUGAAAAAAUUAGAGUGUUUCAAGCAGGCAAUGGCUCGAAUACAUUAGCAUGGAAUAAUGGAAUAGGACUUUUGUCCAUUUGAUUGGUUAUUGGACUUAGGUAAUGAUUAAAAGGGACAGUUGGGGGCAUUAGUAUUUAAUUGUCAGAGGUGAAAUUCUUGGAUUUAUUAAAGACUAACUUAUGCGAAAGCAUUUGCCAAGGAUGUUUUCAUUGA
rnacentral:rRNA from 1 species